rnacentral:rRNA from 1 species
UGCCAUCAGAUGUGCCCAGAUGGGAUUAGCUAGUAGGUGGGGUAACGGCUCACCUAGGCGACGAUCCCUAGCUGGUCUGAGAGGAUGACCAGCCACACUGGAACUGAGACACGGUCCAGACUCCUACGGGAGGCAGCAGUGGGGAAUAUUGCACAAUGGGCGCAAGCCUGAUGCAGCCAUGCCGCGUGUGUGAAGAAGGCCUUCGGGUUGUAAAGCACUUUCAGCGGGGAGGAAGGCGAUAAGGUUAAUAACCUUGUCGAUUGACGUUACCCGCAGAAGAAGCACCGGCUAACUCCGUGCCAGCAGCCGCGGUAAUACGGAGGGUGCAAGCGUUAAUCGGAAUUACUGGGCGUAAAGCGCACGCAGGCGGUCUGUCAAGUCGGAUGUGAAAUCCCCGGGCUCAACCUGGGAACUGCAUUCGA